rnacentral:misc_RNA from 1 species
GAAAUGCGAUAAGUAAUGUGAAUUGCAGAAUUCAGUGAAUCAUCGAAUCUCUGAACGCACAUUGCGCCCCCUGGUAUUCCGGGGGGCAUGCCUGUUCGAGCGUCAUUUCACCACUCAAGCCUCGCUUGGUAUUGGGCGACGCGGUCCGCCGCGCGCCUCAAAUCGACCGGCUGGGUCUUCCGUCCCCUCAGCGUUGUGGAAACUAUUCGCUAAGGGUGCCGCGGGAGGUCACGCCGCAAAACAACCCCAUUUCUAAGGUUGACCUCGGAUCAGGUAGGGAUACCCGCUGAACUUAAGC